rnacentral:tRNA from 1 species
CCCUGUAGUGAUUAUCACAUCAAAUUGCAAAUUUGAAGAAGUUCCUAUUUGGUUCCAGGGCUU